rnacentral:rRNA from 1 species
GAUGAACGCUGACAGAAUGCUUAACACAUGCAAGUCUACUUGAAGCUAACUUCGGUUAGUGGAGGGUGGCGGACGGGUGAGUAACGCGUAAAGAACUUGCCUCACAGAUUGGGACAACAUUUGGAAACGAAUGCUAAUACCGGAUAUUAUGAUACUUCCGCAUGGAAGAAUCAUGAAAGCUAUAUGCGCUGUGAGAGAGCUUUGCGUCCCAUUAGCUAGUUGGAGAGGUAACGGCUCACCAAGGCGAUGAUGGGUAGCCGGCCUGAGAGGGUGAACGGCCACAAGGGGACUGAGACACGGCCCUUACUCCUACGGGAGGCAGCAGUGGGGAAUAUUGGACAAUGGACCAAAAGUCUGAUCCAGCAAUUCUGUGUGCACGAUGAAGUUUUUCGGAAUGUAAAGUGCUUUCAGUUGGGAAGAAGCAAGUGACGGUACCAACAGAAGAAGCGACGGCUAAAUACGUGCCAGCAGCCGCGGUAAUACGUAUGUCGCAAGCGUUAUCCGGAUUUAUUGGGCGUAAAGCGCGUCUAGGUGGUUAUAUAAGUCUGAUGUGAAAAUGCGGGGCUCAACUCCGUAUUGCGUUGGAAACUGUGUGACUAGAGUACUGGAGAGGUAAGCGGAACUACAAGUGUAGAGGUGAAAUUCGUAGAUAUUUGUAGGAAUGCCGAUGGGGAAGCCAGCUUACUGGACAGAUACUGACGCUAAAGCGCGAAAGCGUGGGUAGCAAACAGG